rnacentral:rRNA from 1 species
UACGGGGGAUGCAAGCGUUAUCCGGAUUUAUUGGGUUUAAAGGGUGCGUAGGCUGUGAGGUAAGUCAGCGGUGAAAUGCCCCCGCUCAACGGGGUGAAGUGCCAUUGAUACUGCCUUGCUGGAAUGCGGAUGCCGUGGGAGGAAUGUGUGGUGUAGCGGUGGAAUGCAUAGAUAUCACACAGAACACCGAUUGCGAAGGCAUCUCACGAAUCCGCGAUUGACGCUGAUGCACGAAAGCGUGGGUAUCAAACAGG